rnacentral:rRNA from 1 species
AUUGAACGCUGGCGGCAGGCCUAACACAUGCAAGUCGAACGAGUGGCGGACGGGUGAGUAAUGUCUGGGAAACUGCCCGAUGGAGGGGGAUAACUACUGGAAACGGUAGCUAAUACCGCAUACCAUCGGAUGUGCCCAGAUGGGAUAAGCUAGUAGGUGGGGUAACGGCUCACCUAGGCGACGAUCCCUAGCUGGUCUGAGAGGAUGACAGGCCACAUGGGAACGGAGACAGGGUCCAGAGUCCUACGGGAGGCAGCAGUGGGGAAUAGUGCACAAUGGGCGCAAGCCUGACGCAGCCAUGCCGCGUGUAUGAAGAAGGCCUUCGGGUUGUAAAGUACUUUCAGCGAGGAGGCGUUACUCGCAGAAGAAGCAUCGGCUAACUCCGUGCCAGCAGCCGCGGUAAUUC